rnacentral:rRNA from 1 species
AUUGAACGCUGGCGGCAUGCCUUACACAUGCAAGUCGAACGGCAGCGGGGGAGAAGCUUGCUUUUCCUGCCGGCGAGUGGCGAACGGGUGAGUAAUACCUCGGAACGUGCCCUGUGGUGGGGGAUAACUAGUCGAACGAUUAGCUAAUACCGCAUACGACCUGAGGGUGAAAGUGGGGGACCUCCAGGCAUACUUCUCUGGGAGCGGCCGAAGUCUGGUUAGCUAGUUGGUGGGGUAAAGGCCUACCAAGGCGACGAUCAGUAGCUGGUCUGAGGGGACGAUCAGCCACGCUGGGACUGAGACACGGCCCAGACUCCUACGGGAGGCAGCAGUGGGGAAGUUUGGACAAUGGGCGAAAGCCUGAUCCAGCAAUGCCGCGUGUGUGAAGAAGGCCUUCGGGUUGUAAAGCACUUUUGUCCGGAAAGAAAUGGCUCUGGUUAAUACCUGGGGUCGAUGACGGUACCGGAAGAAUAAGGACCGGCUAACUACGUGCCAGCCGCCGCGGUAA